rnacentral:rRNA from 1 species
UACAGAGGUCCCAAGCGUUGUUCGGAUUCACUGGGCGUAAAGGGUGCGUAGGCGGUGAGGUAAGUCUGACGUGAAAUCUCCGGGCCUAACCCGGAAACUGCGUUGGAUACUAUCUUGCUAGAGGAAUGGAGGGGAGACUGGAAUACUUGGUGUAGCAGUGAAAUGCGUAGAUAUCAAGUGGAACACCAGUGGCGAAGGCGAGUCUCUGGACAUUUCCUGACGCUGAGGCUCGAAAGCGUGGGGAGCAAACAGG